CCUACGGGGGGCUGCAGUAAGGAAUAUUGGUCAAUGGACGAAAGUCUGACCCAGCCAUCCCGCGUGCAGGAUGAAAGCCCUAUGGGUUGUAAACUGCUUUUAGCAGAGAAGAAAAGCUUUCAUUAAUGAGAGUCUGACGGUAUCUGCAGAAUAAGCACCGGCUAACUCCGUGCCAGCAGCCGCGGUAAUACGGAGGGUGCGGGCAUUAUCCGGAAUUACUGGGUUUAAAGGGUGCGUAGACGGCAUUUUUGAAAUCUUGUCGCGUAACGAUAAAAUUGCCGAUGAUACUGGUACUCUUGAAUUGGGUUGAGGGUAGCGGAAUGUGACAUGUAGCGGUGAAAUGCAUAGAUAUGGCAUGGAACACCAAUUGCGAAGGCAGCUAACUGGGCCUUGAUUGACGCUGAGGCACGAAAGCGUGGGUAGCGAACAGGAUUAGAUACCCCAGUAGUC
rnacentral:rRNA from 1 species